rnacentral:rRNA from 2 species
GGGUUGUGAGGUUAAGCGACUAAGCGUACACGGUGGAUGCCCUGGCAGUCAGAGGCGAUGAAGGACGUGCUAAUCUGCGAUAAGCGUCGGUAAGGUGAUAUGAACCGUUAUAACCGGCGA